GUAAGAAGAAAGAAUGCACAGUACGAGAGAUGGAUUUCACAUUUUUUGUUACUCCCUGUAUGGUAUAAUACUCUGAGGCUUGCUUCUCUUCUGAUCACAUUCAACUUUGUCAUUUAGUACAGAACCUUUUGCUGAAGUUCAUCCGGCAAAACUGGUGAAGAAUGGAGUAGAUCCUUACACAGCAGACUUGAGUUUACUCUAGUGAAAUGCUCUUAUUGAGCUCCUUCAAAUAUUGGGAAGAUAAUUAUUGCAAGACCUAUGUCAGAAACAAUCAGGCUCUAUUGAAUUCUUUUGCUCUUUGGAUUAAAUGCUCUGUGAGUUCCAAGACACAGAAACUUCCUUUGAAUCAUAGGAUCACAAGAUAUUUUAUGUUGGAAAGAGCUGCUGGAGGUCACUUUGUCAAACCACCUAUUCAAAGAGGCUUACCUUCAGCAUUAGAUAGUGAAAAUUCAUAACUUGUUACUUCUGUCUACUCUUCUUCAGAUAUGGACCUCUAAGGAAAGUUUGUUCCAUCUUCUCUGCAAUCCCCCUGCAGGGCAUGGUCUAUGGACAUUCAAGUGUCAACAUCUUCCAUUUGACACUGACAGACCCUCUUGCUGAAAGCUUGCGAAUGUCAAGUGAGUCAUCAUUCACACACAGAUAGUACCUUCUAUCUUCGUAGCAUUGGAACUGCACUGAAUCUCCUUCGCAAUGCAUGAUGAAGAAGUUAUUAUCUUCACUCAGCUAUGAAAAUACACAAAGUAAAAAAACACAUUGUAUUUCUAAUGCCAUUCUAUAAUAUCAAAUGUGACAAAAAUUCAUUUAUGUUGUUGAUUUGUUAUAUUUUAUGCUCGUUAUACUUUUCUCCAGUGACUCAUAUUUACCAAUUUUUACAUAAACCUUAGGCAACGACUAAUCAUUUUGGGAUAGAUUCUGUGAUAACUAUAAAUAAAAAUAGUACCCAUGUCCCUCAAAGGACUGAGUAAUACCAGAUUAGUAGAUGCAUUCCUAUGGUUCACAAAAACACCAGCACAGUCUCCUCAGUGUGUUUACGAUAACUUAUGUCUUUUGUCUGGUUAAACCAUUUUCUCACCUUAGGCCUACCCUGUCAACUGCCACUAGCAGUAAAAUUUAAAUCUACAGGUUUUUUGCCUCUUUUGAAGUAAAAUUAGAAUGUUACAGUAGAAACUACUCUUAAACAACUUAAACUCUAUUACCUGUGGCUUUUCUGUAUAUCUCCAAUUUCCAAUGCACUUUUAAAAAAGAUCCAUCUCUGGUGCAAUAGCUAUUGUCUAAAGGGCUACUCUCUCUCUCUAUGUGUGUGUGUGUGUGUGUGUGUGUGUGUGUGUGUUUGGGUUGACUGGACACCUCAGGGUAGGGGUGGAGAAAUAGUUACAAAAAAAUGUCACAUCAGAGAGAGGAAGAGUAUGUGCUGAAAUCUGCAGAAACUGUUAAGCUUGAGGCACCACAGGGCUGCUGAACCUACCCGUGGUCUCCAGCGCUCCUCCAGCACCUACCACAGGUCGUGUAAUCCACAUCACAUCCAAACAGUUGCUGUACAGAGAUCACAGGCAGUGAGUGUGAGCACAGCUGCUGAAACCAGGUCCCCUGGGUGUGACUGUGCACAGCUGCCUGGAACUGCUGGGGUGGGGGUAUGAGCCCCUGCCCCUGCCUGUGUGCACUGAGCGAAGGACUAACUGUGAAUACUGUGUGAAUAGUUACCUGAUGCUAAUAGUGGGACAUUAUUAAUUAAUAGAAGGUUAAGAUUUGUGUUUCCCCCAACUCAGCUUCCUGCCAGACAGCAGGGAAUUUAGAGUAUCUUUUGGGAAAGACUGAACAUAUUGUAAUCAACUUAUUUUAACUUUCCUUUUGAGUGACCUUGUUGAACACUCUUGUCCUGCCCAUGUUCUAUAAGUCUGCCCAUGUUCUGAUCAGUUCUGUAACUCUGGCUAGUCUGGUGUGUUAUCAUUGCUUAAGCGGACUUCUAAAAAGAAACUUUACAAAGAUUACUUUGCAGUAAUACUGAAUGCUUGAAGAAAAGCAGGAGUGCAUUUAAGGGUACCAGCUUGCUGGAGAUUACAGCAUUGGCAAUAACCACCUUUUGACAGAAGGAGCAAUGUGUCCUUUUAGCCCAUAUGACAAUAGGAGAUGGAAAGAAAAUGUUUUGCAGUUAUUCUAGAGAACCUCAAGGAAACUUGGGGAAUACACCUUCUGUUAUCAGCAAUGGGAAGAAUCUACAACAUUCUGUCCUGAUCAAUUCAAUGUAACAACAGUGUCUGCAGCUUCAAUCAAAAAAAAUAAAGUUUUAAAAAAUACUGUUAAGAAAGUUGAAGAAAAUGUGUCUUUGGGAAACAAAUACCUUCUAGGGACUCAGAAUGGUAAAAAGCAAACAUAAAAGGAAUAAGAAUAUUUGGUGAAAGAAAACCAGUAGAAGCAAGGAGAGAGAUUCAUAUUUACAAUGCAGAAAUUCAUGCUAGAGCAAGGGAGAUUCCAAACGGGUUUUGUAAAGAAAAUGUACAUGCUGACAAAGGCAGAUUGAGAUCCAGAAAUUUAAAAAUACCUACUGUACCUGCAUGAAAUGAUGGAAAAUUAGGUGGAAAACUGUAAGAGAAAAAUUAUUUGGAGGAUGACACUAUUUGACUGGGAGAAGGAAGAAGGAAAUAGAAGCAUAAUGAAACACCGUUAGGGCUGGGAGGUGCAGCAGGUCAUUGGAAAGAGUAAAAUGUUUUGCAAGAAAUCAUGGCAGAGGUGAUUUUCUCUAUCCUAUAAAGAAGGAUAAUGACAAAACCUGAAGAAUGUGGUGGACUACUGACAGAUAAUGUUCCUCCUGAGGACAGUUUCCACAGUAGGAGUCAAGACAAUUUGCAAGUUCCAAGAAAAAAAGCUACUGAUUUUUAGUUACAAUUUGAUAUUUUGCUUUCCAUUGCAUUAAAUGAAGAACUAAUUUACAGCUUAGGUUUUACAUUUAAUGACAAAAAUUUCACCUUUAUUCAUGUCCCACAGGUGAUUCACAAUGCAUUUGAAAUAUUUGAAAUAUUCUCAUGUCAGAAAAAUGUUACAAAUUGUCUUCGCAGGCUAAAGUAAAACAUGUCAGUGAUGGGAACUACAGAAAAAGAUGUGAGAGUAGUAUACAAGUUUUAAAACAAAUAGACUCAAAACUAUAUAAAGUCAGAUCGAAUAUGGUAUAAUGAGCAUUACUCCAAGCUAGGUUUAAAUGCUGCGCUCUAACCUAGGAAGAAACUAGAAGAUAAAAAAGAAUGGAUUUGAAGGCCAGCUGAAACAGAACGUCUUAUGUUGUCAUGAUGCUUUACACAAAAGAGUGUAGGGCACACUGCAAUCUACAUUUUGCCUCAGAUAAAGCAAGGAAUCAAAGAGCACAUGAUCAAAGAGACAUGAGUCUGCAAUGAUGAUAAGCAAACCAGUAAAACGGAGCUGAAGGUUAAGUUCUGCAUCACAGAAGUUAUGGACCUUAGAAGACAUUACAAAUUAGUUAUGUGGUUUGUGGCUAAAAGAGGAUUGAUGACACACCAGUGAAAAUUUUGGCUUUUGUUGUGCAGUGCAUGCACAACACCAUGAGCUUCUCUUUCUUCCCACUCAGUGCGUAAGCUGGGAUGGGCAAGAGCCUGAGAUGGAGCACAGCUGGGACAGCUGCGUCAGAGUGGCCAAAGGGAUACUCUAUGCCAUGUGAUGUCAUGGCCAGUCAUAAAGCUUGGUGUGGAGGAUGGAAAAUGUGGGGUUGAGGGGAUGGGUGUUUGCUUCUGAGAAAAAUACUGCUCAGAGACUGGCUGAGCAUUGGUCAGGGGAGGAGAUGAGUAAGUGCUUUGCAUCACUUGUGGUUUUUUCUGACCUUCAUAUGUUUUGCUUCUGAGGUUUUUUCCUUAACUCAAAAAUUUUCUUACUUUUGCUCUUGCUAUUCUGUAAUAAAUGCACAGUAUGGUGCUGGCUCUCAUGAAUGCUAUAUCCAUGUUAUAAUGUUAAAAUAAGUUCUGUUAAGAUCUGGUGUUUUUUCGUAUAAGUUUUGUAAUGCUGAAAGUUGAUCUCUGACCACUGGGAAAGUUGAAGCAAGAAGAGCUGCACAGACUCCAAAAGGUGGGACGAAGGAGGAGCAGGGUUGGAAGAGUGACACAUGCAUGAGCGUGGAGAGGGUUGGCAUACCAGGGGGUGGCUUGUCAGUAGCAUAUAUAAGGAUUAUUGUAGGUGUAGGCAGUGUGCGUCUGGCUGCAGCUAAGCACCCGGUGCAGUCCCCUUUUCCUUAUUCAGUCCCUAGUCGUGGUUCAACAAACCUUUUGAAAUUUUAAGAAGUGAGGUGUCGUUUCUCGCAUAUUCUCUCCCCUGUCCACUGGCAGGGAGCGGGUCUGCAUGAAUAUCUGGGGCAGGGACUUGGAUGCUGGCUGGAGCAACACACCUCAGUCUAUUUUUUUGCCACAGUUGAUCCUUCCUGACGAAUAGUAGGGCUGUGCUUCCAGCCCUGAAUCAGUCAGCUCCUGGUGUACAGACAUCCCUCCCCUGAAAGUAAACUUUGGCCUGCACACUGCUGCUGAAUUGAUCAAGAAAAAUGCUUUGGCAAUAUCAGCUGUAGCAUUCACUCUGCCACCUUUGAUUCCAUUCAUACUGAAGGUGCAGGGUCUCUGAAACAGCAGCCCUCAAUGGUGGUGUGACUUUGUUGAGCCCAGAACUUUCAACUUCCAUCAGACUUCUACACUAGCCAUAUGUGACUACUGAAGUAAGGCUUGCUGAUCACUCCUUGGCUUUUCAAUAGAUAAAUCAACUUUUGGAGUAAAACAUCCAGGAAUCUCAAGCUGCAUGCUGGGUGCCAAAAAGGACUGUGCUCUGUCAGCCUGCUGCCAAGCACAGUAAACAUGGCAUUGUCAGAACUUACAAGGUGAAAACUUCAGAACCAAGGUAUCUUGGUGGGCCUUGCCAGAUUUAAUGUUUGGAGAUUAUUUUAGCCUACUUAACUGGAGUAAAGAGGAAGUCUCUUUAAAAAGUCUUUCAUGACUGCUUAGCCUCUGGUAUAAUCUCUUUCUUACUUUCUUACUUGUCUUUAUCAAACUACUCAGUAAAAUAGAGAGGACUAUGGAAUAAACUGUUACAGCUCUUAACAGAACUUCCACAGCUGCUGUCCUUCAGGUCCCAGUCCACCCAUUCUGGGAUAUUUCAGUCAAAACUUUGGGAAAUGCUGUCCGGAUACAAUGAUCUAAUAACCUUGCAUUAUCCAGCCAGGAACAACUACCUGAAGAAAAGCAGCCUGAUCCAGCAAUUGAAAUUGUUGAAUCCUAUCCUUUAGUAUUCUUUUAAGCAAAUGUGUUAAUUCAUUAAUUAUUGAAUUAAUUCAUGAAGAUUUGAAACAGAGGGAAAAUUGAGUGCUACUAGUACUUCAGAAAAGCUGAGAAGGUAAUGGGUCAAGAAUACAUAAAAUAUUAUUGUUGAACCAGAACAGAAGUUACACUAAAAUGAGUACUACAGAUAUGUGCUGAAGAAGAUGUGUACUUCUUUGAUAACCAUUAUACGUUCACUAAUUUCUGCACUUCUGGAAGAGUAAAAAAGAGAAAUAGUAAAAAAUUUAUACAUAAUUAAGGCAAAUGGUAAAAUGGGAGCUGGCUUUCCUACUGGGAGAAUUAUGAGCAAUGGGUGGGGGAACUGGGAAAACCUUUUAAGUAGAUAAUCUAAAGUGAAGUACUGUUCUGUAGCUCUGAGGUCAUUCUGUUGUGUAGUUAACUGCAUUUUUUUCCUAUGAUAUUAUUAAUUAUGAUAAGAAUGGUCUUACAUAAGCAUGCUCAUUACAGAGUUAGAAUAA